rnacentral:rRNA from 1 species
ACGUAGGGGGCGAGCGUUAUUCGGAAUUACUGGGUGUAAAGGGUAUGUAGGCGGCCCUUCAAGUCGCGUGUCAAAGUCCAGUGCUCAACGCUGGGCGUGCACGAGAUACUGACGGGCUUGAGGACUGGCGAGGUGAGCGGAAUUCGCAGUGUAGUGGUGAAAUGCUUAGAUAUCGGAAGGAACACCGGUGGCGAAGGCAGCUCACUGGGCAGUUACUGACGCUAAGGCACGAAAGCGUGGGGAGCGAACAG